rnacentral:lncRNA from 1 species
AGAAUCACUUGGAAACUUGCAAACGUUAUUGCGUAAAUGAAUGUGGCAUAAAAGUUUUGAGUAAAGAGAUGUCGUCCCAUAUCACUAAUAGCUGCGCUAAUACAAUUAUUUCUUGUCAAUACUCUUACAUUGGAUGUAACUUUAAGGGAAUGAGAAAAGAACAAGGUACUCAUGUCAAUUCUUCAACACAAAACCAUCUUUCAAAGGCAAUAUCUAAAGUUGCUG